rnacentral:rRNA from 1 species
AUUGAACGCUGGCGGCAUGCCUUACACAUGCAAGUCGAACGGCAGCACGGGUGCUUGCACCUGGUGGCGAGUGGCGAACGGGUGAGUAAUACAUCGGAACGUACCUUAUCGUGGGGGAUAACGCAGCGAAAGCUGUGCUAAUACCGCAUACGCCCUGAGGGGGGAAAGCGGGGGAUCGAAAGACCUCGCGCGAUUAGAGCGGCCGAUGCCUGAUUAGCUUGUUGGUGGGGUAAAAGCCCACCAAGGCGACGAUCAGUAGCUGGUCUGAGAGGACGAUCAGCCACACUGGGACUGAGACACGGCCCAGACUCCUACGGGAGGCAGCAGUGGGGAAUUUUGGACAAUGGGCGAAAGCCUGAUCCAGCCAUGCCGCGUGCAGGAUGAAGGCC